rnacentral:rRNA from 1 species
AUUGAACGCUGGCGGCAGGCUUAACACAUGCAAGUCGAGCGAGCGGCGGACGGGUGAGUAAUGUCUGGGAAACUGCCUGAUGGAGGGGGAUAACUACUGGAAACGGUAGCUAAUACCGCAUACCAUCAGAUGUGCCCAGAUGGGAUUAGCUAGUUGGUGGGGUAAUGGCUCACCUAGGCGACGAUCCCUAGCUGGUCUGAGAGGAUGACCAGCCACACUGAAACUGAGACACGGUCCAGACCCCUACGGGAGGCAGCAGUGGGGAAUAUUGCCCAAGGGGCGAAAGCCUGAUGCGGCCAUGCCGCGUGUGGGAAGAGGGCCUUCGGGUUGUAAAGCACUUUCGGCGAGGAGGCGUUACUCGCAGAGGAAGCACCGGCUAACUCCGUGCCAGCGGCCGCGGUAAAC